AGAGUUCUUAGUAAUUCAGUAAAACGAGAAAAAGAAAUGUGAGAUAGAAAAGAAAAAGACAAAACUGUCAUUAGAGAAGCAGGGACUGGCUCAAUUGCCCAGGCUGAUGUGCAGUAGUGCAAUCAUAGCUCACUGCAGCCUGAACUCCUAAACUCCUGCGCUCAAGAGGUCCUUCCACCUCAGCCUUCCGAGCAGCUAGGACUACAAGUGCUCACCAUAAC
rnacentral:lncRNA from 1 species